AGAGUUUGAUCCUGGCUCAGGACGAACGCUGGCGGCGCGCCUAACACAUGCAAGUCGAACGAGAGAGAGGGAGCUUGCUUCUUCGAUCGAGUGGCGAACGGGUGAGUAACGCGUGAGGAACCUGCCUCAAAGAGGGGGACAACAGUUGGAAACGACUGCUAAUACCGCAUAAGCCCACGGCUCGGCAUCGAGCAGAGGGAAAAGGAGCAAUCCGCUUUGAGAUGGCCUCGCGUCCGAUUAGCUAGUUGGUGAGGUAACGGCCCACCAAGGCGACGAUCGGUAGCCGGACUGAGAGGUUGAACGGCCACAUUGGGACUGAGACACGGCCCAGACUCCUACGGGAGGCAGCAGUGGGGAAUAUUGCACAAUGGGGGAAACCCUGAUGCAGCGACGCCGCGUGGAGGAAGAAGGUCUUCGGAUUGUAAACUCCUGUUGUUGAGGAAGAUAAUGACGGUACUCAACAAGGAAGUGACGGCUAACUACGUGCCAGCAGCCGCGGUAAAACGUAGGUCACAAGCGUUGUCCGGAAUUACUGGGUGUAAAGGGAGCGCAGGCGGGAAGACAAGUUGGAAGUGAAAUCCAUGGGCUCAACCCAUAAACUGCUUUCAAAACUGUUUUUCUUGAGUAGUGCAGAGGUAGGCGGAAUUCCCGGUGUAGCGGUGGAAUGCGUAGAUAUCGGGAGGAACACCAGUGGCGAAGGCGGCCUACUGGGCACCAACUGACGCUGAGGCUCGAAAGUGUGGGUAGCAAACAGGAUUAGAUACCCUGGUAGUCCACACCGUAAACGAUGAUUACUAGGUGUUGGAGGAUUGACCCCUUCAGUGCCGCAGUUAACACAAUAAGUAAUCCACCUGGGGAGUACGACCGCAAGGUUGAAACUCAAAGGAAUUGACGGGGGCCCGCACAAGCAGUGGAGUAU
rnacentral:rRNA from 1 species